UCUCCGUUGGUGAACCAGCGGAGGGAUCAUUACAGGAAUCGCAAGAUCCCACCCCCUUGUGAACCUACCGAAACGUUGCCUCGGCGGCGAGCCGGCCUCGGCGCCGGGCGCUGCGGGCGUCCAAGCCCCCCUACUCCGUCUCUCCCUGGUUGCAUCUCCGAGACCCAGAAACUGACUAAAAACUAUCAACUACGGAUCUCUUGGCUGUAGCAUAGAGGAAAAACGAAGCAGAUCGGAAGAGCACACGUCUACACUCCAUACACGCGUAUCAUGCUCGUU
rnacentral:misc_RNA from 1 species